GAUGAAGAACGUAGCAAAAUGCGAUAAGUAAUGUGAAUUGCAGAAUUCAGUGAAUCAUCGAAUCUUUGAACGCACAUUGCGCCCGCUGGUAUUCCGGCGGGCAUGCCUGUUCGAGCGUCAUUCCAACCCUCAAGCCCCCGGGUUUGGUGUUGGGGAUCGGCUCUGCCCUUCUGGGCGGUGCCGCCCCCGAAAUACAUUGGCGGUCUCGCUGCAGCCUCCAUUGCGUAGUAGCUAACACCUCGCAACUGGAACGCGGCGCGGCCAUGCCGUAAAACCCCAACUUCUGAAUGUUGACCUCGGAUCAGGUAGGAAUACCCGCUGAACUUAAGCAUAUCAAUAAGCGGAGGA
rnacentral:misc_RNA from 1 species